rnacentral:lncRNA from 1 species
UGAUCGAAUUGAUCAGACUCUCAUGGAUGUAUACAAAGAGUCUGCAGGCUUGAAUAAGCCACUUCAGUUGUUGAUAAUUAUCUUACCUGAUCAGACUGGCUCUUAUGGUAAGAAAUUCUGAUGUUUUGUAAAUAGGUAAUUCCUGGGUUGUCUUUGCGCGACUCAAAUCUUUUUGUUUGCAGGAAAAAUAAAGCGAAUUUGUGAGACGGAGCUAGGUAUUGUUUCACAAUGUUGUAAGCCUGUGCAAGCUUCAAAGUUCAGCAACCAAUAUUUUGAAAAUGUUGCUCUCAAGAUCAAUGCUAAGGUAUCUGUUUUGCCUCACUGGUGGUGAUUUGAUAUAGUGGUUUCUUGUCUUGCUAUCUUCUUUUAAAUCAUUUGAGAAUUGUAAAUUCUGUAGGUUGGGGGGAGAAAUACUGUGCUGAACGAUGCUGUUUUAAGGAGAAUUCCGCUUGUGACUGAUGUCCCUACAAUCAUUUUUGGGGCAGAUGUCACUCAUCCGCCGCCUGGCGAAGACUCUAGUUCUUCUAUAGCUGCAGUAAGCAUAUUCAUUAUUCUCUAUCAUCCCCAUUUUGUUACUUGAUCAUAUUUAAGAGGUUAUUGGCUGGCUGCAGGUCGUUGCUUCAAUGGAUUGGCCUGAGGUAACCAAGUAUCGUGGAAUUGUCUCUGCACAGACUCACCGGGUGGAAAUAAUCGAGGAUCUUUAUAAACAAACUAGGGAUCCACAGAAGGGUUUAGUUGAGGGUGGAAUGGUUAGGUAGGGAGAGAUUUAUUCCAGGCUUAAAUUUUUAGUUUCUUCUGGAAGUGCUCUACUUUCUUAACAUUUCAAGUUCUCUGCAGGGAAUUGCUUCUUGCUUUCUACAGGUCAACGAAACAAAAGCCUUCUAGAAUUAUCUUCUAUAGGUAAUGUUUGCUUUUGACCAUCCGAAUCUAUGUAUAUAUUUCUAGCAGCAGUGCUGAUAUCUGAUUUUUGAUGUGUGGCAGAGAUGGUGUUAGUGAAGGACAAUUCAGCCAAGUUUUGCUUUAUGAAAUGGAUGCGAUUCGGAAGGUAUUGAAAUUACUGUAUAAUGUCUAUUAUAGUUGGUUCACUGUAUAAUGGAUGCAAUGUUUUUUGGUGUUUGGGCCUUCUGACCCCUGCAGUUUUCUUACUUCCAGGCUUGUUCCUCGCUACAGGAAGGAUAUAUGCCUCGGGUUACAUUUGUUGUGGUUCAAAAGAGGCAUCAUACUCGCUUAUUCCCUACUGAUCGCAACAAAACUGAUAGGAGUGGCAACAUAUUACCAGGUGAUUCUAAUCUUAUAAUAGGGAUUUGAUCGUAUUCUCUUGAUCUUCAUUUUGUUAGCAUAUUUUAAUGUAGCCAAUAACUUUUAGGUACUGUUGUGGAUACUAGCAUCUGUCAUCCAACUGAGUUUGAUUUUUAUCUCAAUAGUCAUGCUGGAAUCCAGGUAAAAUGAGGCCUUCCCUUGAAGUGUGAUGGUUUUUAUGUUAAUUUUGUCCGAUCUGAUAUUGAUAUUGAUGUUUUUGUGUAGGGGACAAGCAAGCCCACACAUUACCACGUUUUGUUGGAUGAAAAUGGCUUCACUGCUGACAUCUUGCAAGUGCUCACAAACAAUUUAUGUUACACGUAUGUGUUUGCUCCUUUCUCUAUAAUGUUGAAAUGGGGUGAAUAAAUAAUGCUUUAGAUCAGCACUAGCAAUUAUAUAGUAAUAAUUUUACUUUGUGGAUAGGUAUGCGAGGUGUACCAAGUCCGUUUCCAUAGGUUUGUGAUGAUGUUUUUUUGUCUUGUUAAAUUUGUUGACUAAGGUUGGUUUUGACAGUGAAUAUUUGGAUUAUAUGUUUGCAGUUCCUCCGGCAUACUAUGCUCACCUCGCUGCUUAUAGGGCACGUUGUUAUAUUGAGGAUGAGAUGUCGGAUAGUGGGUCUACUGGUGGAGGCCGAAAGCCGAAAGACAAGGUUGUAGAGGUUAGGCCGCUGCCCAGCAUAAAGGAUAAUGUGAAGGAAGUGAUGUUCUACGUCUGAUUAAUUAUGUUUGGUUGAUUGUGGGAAGUUGCGCAAGUAUAGUUGCACAGUUUGUGGAUGAUGGUGGAGUCUUAUUGAUUCCAUUGGUGGACUUAGUAAUCAUCUAAUUUUGGAGUUUUUGUUUUGGUGGUUGAGCUACUUGUUGUGUGAAGUUUGAAUUAUUAUAAAUCACACACUGUUUGUGGAUUACGAAAAUUUCAUAAAUGUCCUUUAUUUUUAAGACACAUUCUUAGAAAGGAGUUUUGGUAUCAUUCUUAAGCUUCUUUUAUAUCACCAAUUAAUACAAGAGAUGAUGAAAUUUUAGAGAAUAAUGUCUUUUUAUAAAGAGUUUUUAAAUGUUCAGAACACAAAUUGUAAGAUAUGCUCGGAUAUCCUCACUGCAUCUCCUUGCAACUCCAAUGAAUAAAAAAGCAAUCCUAAUCAAUUUUCUUUUUAAUUUACCAUUUUAAUAAACAUAGUAAAUACAAUUUUAUUAACUUAUUAAUUAAUUUUAUAAAUUUACAUAUUUUUAAUUCAUAAAAGUGUGAUAAUUUUAAAAACUUUUAUUAUAUAUAAUUUUUAAUCUAAUGUUUUCAAUAGUUAUAUUUUAUUAUUAUCUCACCGUUACAAUUACGUUUGAAAUUAAAUAUACAUCUCACCACUGUUUCUAUUCUCAUUGCUAUUGCUGUUUUUAACUUUACCGAAGAUAAAUGUAUCGUCCAUCCCAAUUAAACCUUAGUCCAUUUAUAGUGUUUUUUUUACUUCGUUAAAGCUGGACAAACUAUGCCAUUAAAAUUUUAAUAGCUUAAGUUUAGAUUGAAUGAGCGAUGCGUUUACUUUCGGUGAGAUUAAAAACAACAAUGGUAGUUAGAUUAGUUACUGUAGCGAUGAAAUUAGAUACUGUAGUAGUGAUAUUAGAAAUAGCGGUACGGUGUGUGUUUAGAUUCAAACGCAACUAUAAUAAUGAGUUGAGAAUAAAAAAUGACUAUUAAAGACAUUAGAUUUAUGAGUUCUCUCUCAUUUCAUCUUUUUUUCCCCUCAAAUUCUGUUAUGAAUAAAAAAUCUUCUUUAAAUAUCAAAGGAAAAGCUCUCAUUUAAUCCUCUCAUCUGAUUGUAUGAAAACGGUUUUGUUCAUUCAUCAGCUAUUCUGCUCUAUCAUUGCUUUUAUCUGUUUCAUUUUUUUCCAAUCUAAAACUAAAAAACAAACACCAUCUUUUCCAUUCAUGAUGACACAGAAGGUGAAGAAAAUUAUAAAUUUUGAUUCAUCAAUGGGUAUGGGUGGUUAACCAAAAUAGAGAAGAUAAAAAAGAAAAAGUAAUGUUGAAAAUAAAAGUCAUUUUCCUUUUUUUAAAAAUAUGGAUGAUUGAUAAUUUUAAAAAUAAUUUUCAAAAAAAUAAUUUUCAUUAUUUUCACCAAAAUGUUUUGUAGAAUUAAAAAAGACGAGAACAAGAGUUUUUUAAUUUUAAAUGAACGAGUUCACAAUGGGUUCAAAUCCAUAUAAACACAAAAAAAUAUUUAUUUUUCAAUAGUUUUUUUUUCUAAUAUUGAAUUCGGUACCCUGAUUUGAAUCCAUAUAAAUACGAAAUUUAUUUUAUUUUAUUAAAACAUGUUUUUAUUUCUAUUUAUCAAAUUUAAAAAAAUAGAAAAUGAAAAUCAUGUUUCUAUUUACCAAAUAUUUCACAAAUUAAACUGACUUUAAUUGUUUAGAAAAAAGAAAAAAAAUUCUAUUAUUUUCUAGUGAAGUAGAAAUUAGGAAAGGGAAGGGAUGCUUGCUAUGGAAAUUGUGGAUGGAAAAAAGGAAGUUGUCAAUAAAGAAAAAAAAAAAAAUUUUGGUAUUUUUUUAUGUCUGUUUUAUUGUUUAUGUUUGGGGUUCGUGGUAGUUCUUCUCAACAAGGUCAUCUUCAAUGUUUAAAUCUAUGUCUCAAAUUAAGAAUACAAUGUGCCUUACCAUUACACCCAACACUUGUUGGUAAAAAAAAAAGUGUAAAAUUUAUAUGAUAUUUUAAAAACAUAUAGAUAAUUUAAUGGUAAAAUUAUAAUUUUAUUUUUUUGAAGGAUAAUGCUAAUAUUGUAAUUAUAUUUAUUAUUGUAAUUUUACAUAAAAAUUAAACUAAUUAACUUGUAACAUCAACUAAGUUAAAUAUUUCUUUAAGUAUUAAAUUGUGUUACAAACAUGAUGUCAAUGUAAAAAAUAUAUUAAUAAAUAGGUGAAAUGAGGUUUUGGUUGAAAUGAUUAAUUUGAACCUGAUUUCUUAAGUUUAACUAACUCAACGACAUUAUUUUUUGAAAGAACUCGAUCAAGAUUGCUUUUUCCGUAGUUACUUUUCCUUAAAAAAACCCAAGGGAAAGUUUAACUGUUAAUGAUUUGGUUGACUGAGUUGGGCUUUUUGUUAUUUAUUGUCUCGUUAAAUUUUAUUUUCAUUGGAUUUUAAUGUGUAUUUUCCUUUUCUGUUUUCUUAUUUAUUUACUUGUCUCUUUGUCCAUCUCUGUUACUUUCAUCUUUUUCUCGUCUCUUUUGAUGGCCUUUGGUGCUUCAUUGCUUAUAGGUUACUAUAACGCCUGAGGUAACCGCAAAAAAGGUUAACAGAGCAAUAAUGAAGCAACUUAUUGAUGUAUACAAAGAGUCGCAUCUUGGACGUCGGUGUCCAGCUUAUGAUGGCAGGAAGAGUUUGUACACUGCUGGUCCUCUUCCCUUCGAGUCAGGAGCUUGUUAUCAAGCUACCUGAGGAAGAUCGCAGUGCUGGUUCGUCUAGGCCUGCGCUGUAAUAUUAUUGUAUCCUAUGAUGGUCUCUUGACAUUUUACAUUAUAUCCGAUGUCAUAAUUGCUUACCUGUGAUCUUUCUGGUUGCCUGUCACUGCAGGAAGGAGCGACAAUUUAAGGUUGCAAUCAAACUGGCCUCCAAGCCAGACCUUCAUUAUCUCAGGGAGUUUUUGAGCAGAAAGCAUUUUGAAUGUCCUCAAGAAGCUAUUCAAGUUCUGGAUGUUGUUCUUAGAGCUAAACCAUCUCAGAUGUAACUGCCUGUUGAUUAAUGUUAAACAUUGCUGGCUAUUAAAUUGUUGAAACCAUUUUAUAUGACAUCAAAUUAAUACAUUUGAAACAUCAUUUGGCAGAUAUACUGAGGUGGGAAGGUCUUUUUUCCAUACAUCAUUAGGUCCUAGAGGAGAACUUGGUAAUGGAAUAGAAUACUGGUCUGGAUAUUAUCAGAGUCUUCGACCCACUCAGAUGGGUUUAUCUCUUAAUAUUGGUAGGUACUUUGAUUGCUCAGUUUGUGUAGCCACUUUGUUCCUAAUGUUUCAGUAUGAAGAUUUACUGGUUUUGCUUUGCAGAUGUGUCUGCUCGAUCAUUCUAUGAGCCAAUUUUAGUUUCAGAGUUUGUUGUGAAACAUUUCCGACGAUCAAACCUGUCAAAGCCGCUGUCUGAUCAAGAUCGUAUUAAAGUAUGUAUAUAUUGAAUUCAGUGUUUAUUAAUCAAAACUUGCAGAAUAUUUUUGGAAUGCUUCUUUUGCCGUUUUUGUUAGCUGAAAAAGGCCUUGAAGGGAGUAAGAGUUAGGCUCAUCUACAUGGAUUAUGCCAAAACUUGCAAGAUUAUUGGAGUAUCUAGAGACCCUAUAAGCCAGUUGACGUGAGUUUCUUGUUAUAAUACUAUACCUGCUCAUAAAUAUUUUUAGUAAGCUACUUUUAUGUGGCCUGUGUGGUAGAAUUGUUUUUGGGUUAUUUGUAGUCUUGUAUUCACUCCUUAUCUAAGUUACAUCUUAAAAUUGAGUUGGUUUUAUUUUUAUUUUUUGCAGUUGACAGUUUUUAGUAUUUGGCUUGGUUAUGUCUUGUUCUAAAAUAUUGUUUAUGCUUAUACAUUUGUAAAAUCUUGUGCUUAUGGUACAUUUGUACCAUUCUGUCUCAUUAUGUUUCUGUUCAAUUUUUGGCUGUUUUAGAUUUCCUCUUGAUGAUAAGAGAACAAAUGUCUCUGUGGUCAAGUAUUUCCGUGAGAAAUACAAUGUUGUGCUUAAAUAUCCAUCCUUGCCUGCACUUCAAAGUGGAACUGAAGCUAGACCUGUCUACCUGCCAAUGGAGGUUUUUACUUUAUAUCAAGAUGAUCUUGUUUUUGUUUUCUUUUUGUUUGUUACUGAUUCUCCUGUAUGAUUUUGUUUUACAGCUUUAUAGUAUCGUUGAGGGUCAAAGAUACACAAAAAAAACUAAAUGAACAACAAGUUAGAUCUCUGCUGAGAGCAACUUGUCAACGUCCGAACAUUAGGGAGGGGAAUAUUACAAAGGUACUGCAGUUUUGGAUGCUUAUUAUUUUUUAAAUUGGUUGAUAAGAUGAGAAUUUUGAUUCAUUGGCAUUUCAUAUUUCUGCAGAUGGUCCAGGUCAAUAAUUUUGAGUUGGAGGAGCUUGUUACUAAAGAAUUUGGAAUGCAUGUUCGCAAAGAACUUGCAUUGAUUAAUGCACGAGUUCUAAAUCCUCCAGUGGUACUUUUCAGCCAAUAUGUUAUAUUUUCAAGGAUACUGUCAGUCUUAUAAUACGAUUAAUGUCUGUUUUGGUUGCUGCAGCUAAAGUAUCACGAUAGUGGACGUGACAAAAUCGUUAAUCCUAGUUGCGGGCAAUGGAACAUGAUCAACAAGGUGGUAUUUUUUUUUCUUCCCCUCUUAUUCUUUGAAGUGGCAUUGUUUGUAAAAUUUAAGGAAUCAGACCUGUCUCUUCAGUCUCCUCUUGUUCCAGAGUUCUUGUUCAUUUUUUCAAUUCAUUUUUAAGGUAGCUAUAAGUCUUUUGGGAAAAUUUUGAUAGGUUUUAAGGUUCAACAGUUUUUUUUUUUGCAGAAAAUGGUCAAUGGGGGUAAAGUCGAUUUCUGGUCUUGUGUGAACUUCUCCUCGGAAUAUUGGAAUAUGUCAGAAGAGUUCUGUGCGGAGCUGGUGAAUAUGUGUAACAACAAAGCAAUGGUAUGCUGUGUGGUUUUUUUUAGUGUAGGUGGAUGGUAUAUCUGUUAUUUAUUUAUCACUAGCAUGAUUUCCCAUUUUGAGAUUCUAGGUGUUUUGCCAAACUCCUUCAAUUGCAAUGCGAUCAGCUCGUGCUGACCGAAUUGAUCAGAUUCUCAUGGAUGUAUACAAAGAGUCUGCAGGCUUGAAAAAGCCACUUCAGUUGUUGAUAAUUAUCUUACCUGAUCAGACUGGCUCUUAGGGUAAGAAAUUCUGAUGUUUUGUAAAUAGGUAAUUCCUGGGGUUUCUUUGCGCGACUCAAAUCUUUUUGCUUGCAGGAAAAAUAAAGCGAAUUUGUGAGACGGAGCUAGGUAUUGUUUCACAAUGUUGUAA